CGGUAGAGAAGCUGCGGGUGAAACUGCCUAGAACCUAAAAAAGUUGUCCUCACACCAUCUGUAUUUAACUGGAAAACAAAACCAAACUUGGAAGCAAUAGAGAAGGGCAAGAAAUCUUCACUUGGAUUUUCUUCUGGUUUUUGGCUGAGGGCUCAAGAAUGGACACUUCCACAGAUGAUGGUGACCUUAGAAGCUGUGAGAGAUAUAUGGGAUGUGGACCUUGGAGCAGUUUCUUUUCCUCCACUUAUAACCAGCUGCAUCAU